AAGGAUCAUUAUUGAAAUAAAUCUGAUGAGUUGCUGCUGGCUCUCUAGGGAGCAUGUGCACACUUGUCAUCUUUAUAUCUCCACCUGUGCACCUUUUGUAGAUCUGGAUAUCUCUCUGAGCGCUUAGCAAUUCAGGUUUGAGGAUUGACUUUAUUGUCUCUCCUUACAUUUCCAGACCUAUGUUUCUUUAUAUACCCCAAUGUAUGUCAUAGAAUGUAAUUAAUGGGCCUUUGUGCCUAUAAAUCUAUACAACUUUCAGCAACGGAUCUCUUGGCUCUCGCAUCGAUGAAGAACGCAGCGAAAUGCGAUAAGUAAUGUGAAUUGCAGAAUUCAGUGAAUCAUCGAAUCUUUGAACGCACCUUGCGCUCCUUGGUAUUCUGAGGAGCAUGCCUGUUUGAGUGUCAUUAAUAUAUAUCAACCUCUACAACUUUUGUUUGUUGAGUUGUUGGAUGUGGGGGCUCUUGCUGGCUUCUCUGAGGUCAGCUCCCCUGAAAUACAUUAGCAGAACGAUCCCCGUUCAUUGGUGUGAUAACUAUCUACGCUAUUGACGUGAAGUAGUUUGGCUUAUAACAGUCCAUUGACUUGGACAAAUUUUCAUUAAUGUGACCUCAAAUCAGGUAGGACUACCCGCUGAACUUAAGCAUAUCAAUAAGCGGAGGAAAAGAAACUAACAAGGAUUCCCCUAGUAACUGCGAGUGAAGCGGGAAAAGCUCAAAUUUAAAA
rnacentral:rRNA from 1 species